rnacentral:lncRNA from 10 species
CAAUCACUCGUUGGCUAGAAAUAUGAUGGGCCACGCAUAAUCCUCUAAGUGUACAAAGUGACCAGGAAGGGUAAUCUUAUGGCAGUCAAAAAACAGACAAAUCAAAUGAGUGGCUCUAGUGUCCACUUAGGUGAUCAGCAAAAGCUCAGAAAGAGUGGUACUGAUGGAGAGGAUAAAUGCUUACCCAAACUCACAUAAGUUGGCAUAUCUGCAGGGAAACAUCACGUUAGCCUUUGAGGAGAGAGGCUAUGCAGGGAUCCAAACAAGAAAAUGUGUAACAAUUUCAGAAGUGGCAAAAAGCAACAACGAGAUGGAAAAAGAUGUGAAGGAUGUGACAGUGAAUGUGGGUCACCCCCAAGGCUCUUUGUGGCAAGACAACGCUGGAGCUUCUCCUUUGCAUGAAACUGAUUGAUGCUGCAAGGUCCUGAAGGAAGACAGAUGUUUUUUGUUUUGUUUUGUUUUAGUGCAGUUCUCCAGUAAAAAGAAAACCCAGGCGGUGAAUAAAUUCAGUCUUCUCCUUUGGGAGAAGUUCACUUCUACUGGGGCCAGAAUCUGCUUUUACAUACCCUGAACUAGAGGAUCAGAGUAUCCUCAAAAGGCUUUCUUGGUACUUCAACUCUGAUAUCCACCCAUCCUUAGAACUACGGCUGCUGCUCCAAAACCUCAUACCUUGCUUUCUCCAACCCCUGAGAGAGAGAUAUUGGCUUGAGUUAGUCUCAAUUUUGUUAGGUAUCCUGGACUAGGUGCUUGGAAUGGCUGAGUGUCCCUCCAAGCAGAUGGAACAGCCCCCAUGCCAUUCUUCCAUAUUAGUUGGAAAUACGUUCAGCUGCCUGAAUUAGAAAAUCCCAUGACAGAGGCAUUAGGGAACAACACUUUGGUUUUCUCCAAAAGAUCAGGGAGGUAGGCAAUUACUAUGAUUAUUUUAGUAGCUCUACCAAAUUAGGUCAAAAGUUUCUUCCAUUUUUGUGGCCUUCCUCUCCUGGUCACAGCGAGGUUACUGACACUCAAGCCAUCAUAUCUGUGUCCCGUGCAAGAUGGGAAGACUAUAAAAGGGGAAAGGGCUCUUGGAGGCCAUUCUAUUUUCUAUAAUCAGGAAAGCAAAUAUUUUCAUAGCUCAUCUCUUCACACCCACUUCCCAGCAGACUUCCAUGGGCAGCAAGUCUUCCCACAGAAGCAAGGGAAGCUGGAAAAUUAGGGACCACACUUAUCAGAAGUGUCUCUGCACAAUCAUGCCUUGGAAUGGAUAUGUUGCUGCACCCCAAAAAAGUAGUGUGUCUCAAAACAAGGAACAAUAAGAGACUAAAUACUUGAUGGGCAACCAACUGUAUUGGCCAUUUCUUCUAUUUAAUUUAAUACAUCAGACCUUACUCUGCUUCCCUUAGCUGUAUGGUCUCACCUCUUGCAAUUCUACUUUGAGGUCCCUGCAUGCUUUACGUCCAGGCUGUAGAAGGAUUGAGCCUGCUGAGGCUGUGCAACAGGGUAGUACAUAGCAUGUAAUAUUUUACAGGUUGAAAGAAACUUUUGUUUUAACUUUUAUUUUAGUUUUGGAGGUACAUGUGAAAGUUUGCCACAUAGGUAAACUCAUGUCAUGGGGGUUUGUUGUACAGAUUAUUUCAUCACCCAGGUAUUAAGCCCAGUAUCCAAUAGUUAUCUUUUCUGCUCCUCUCCCUCCUUCCAUCCUCCAUCCUCAAGUAGAACUCAGUGUCUAUUGUUUUCUUCUUUGUGUGCAUAAGUUCUCAUCAUUUAGCUCCCACUUAUAAGUGAGAACAUGUGAUAUUUGGUUUUCUGUUCCUAUUUUAAUUUGCUGAGGAUAAUGGCCUCUAGCUCCAUCCAUGUUCCUGCAAAGGACAUUAUUUCAUUCCUUUUCAUGGCUGCAUAGUAUUCCAUGGAGUAUAUGUAUUACACUUAUCCAGUCUACGACUGAUGAGCAUUUAGAUUGAUUCCAUGUCUUUGCUAUUGUGACUAGUGCUGCAAUGAACAUUUGUGUGCUUAUGUCUUUAUAGUAAAAUGAUUUAUAUUCCUCUGGAUAUAUGCGCAGUAAUGAGAUUGCUGGGUUUAAUGGUAGUUCUGCUUUUAGCUCUUUGAGGAAUCACCAUACUGCUUUCCACAAUUGUUGAACUAAUUUACACUCCCACUAACAGUGAAUAAGUGUUCCCGUUACUCCACAACCUCACUAGCAUCUGUUACUUUCAGACUUUUUCAUAAUAGCAUUCUUAGAGGUGUGAGAUGAUAUCUCAUUGUGGUUUCCAUUUGCAUUUCUCUAAUGAUCAGUGAUAUUGAGCUUUUCUUCAUAUGCUUGUUGGCUGCAUGUAUGUCUUCUUUUGAAAGGUGGCUGUUCAUGUCCUUUGCCCACUUUUUAAUGGGGUUGUAUGUUUCCUUUCAUAAAUUUAUAUAAGUUCCUUAAGGAUGCUGGAUAUGAGACCUUUGUCAGAUGCAUAGUUGGAAAAUAUUUUCUCCCAUUUUGUAGGUUGUCUGUUUACCGUGUUAAUACUUUCUUUUUCUGUGCAGAAGCUCUUAAGUUGAAUUAUAUCCCACUUGUCAAUUUUUGCUUUUACUGCGAUUGCUUUUGGUGUCUUUGUUAUGAAAUCUUUGUCUGUUCCUAUGUCUAGCAUGGUAUUGCCUAGGUUGUCUUCCAGGAUUUUUUACAGUUUUGGGUUUUACAAUUAAGUCUUUAAUUCAUCUUGUGUUGAUUUUUGUUUAUGGUAUAAGGAAGAGGUCCAGCUUCAAUCUUCUACAUAUGGCUAGCCAGUUAUCCAAGCACCAUUUAUUGACUAGGGAGGCUUUUCCCCAUUACUUGUUUUUGUCAGAGAAGAAAUAUUUUAAUAGUCCUGAUAACAUUCCCGUAUCUUGAAUGUCCUGCUAACAUUCCCCUAUCUACAAAGCAUAGCACCUGGGGUGGUGUUGAGUCUGGAUUCCUUGGAAGUGUCAAUAUACACCAGAUAAUGGCCAGUUUUCCACAAGAAUAUAGAUGACUAGCACUUCCUGUCACAAUACCUGGCACAGUGAGUAAUUUACUUUUGUUUUUUUUCUUGUUUAUCUGUUGUUCUCUCUCUCUUUCUCUCUCUGUCACACACACACACACACACACACACACAUACAUACACACUGCUGUUUACAAUUUGGCAAUGCAUUUGUUGUCCAUUCAAAAGCACUCAUUGACAAAGAUGGGCUCUCUCGAGUGUGGCUGAGAUGGUGUGCACUUAGUGGCACUGCAGAACCCCAGGGCCUGGGCACCAGGGCUGCACCUGCCGAGCAGCCCGCCUGUGAGACCCAUCCUCGGCCGCUCUGCUGCUCAGUGGCGGCCUCUGCCUUGCCUGCUGGAGCAGGGCUCUUCAGCCGAGGACAGGACAAGUCUCUCCUUUAUUCAAGUCUUUCACUGAGCUCCCAGAGCUGCAGUUGCGAAUCUUUUGUUUUUAUUUGUAAACUAAGUGAAUUUGACCUGGAAAUCACCAAAGGGGAAUACAUUUGGAACAUUGAAAUGCCAUUUUUACAGGCACAUUUCUAAUCAUAGCUGCCCUUUAAAACCCACAUACAAUUGUCACCUUGAGUUCCCCUGUUUUCCAGCCUCAGUGCGGCUCUCUUUGCAAAUCCCACAGCAUGACAACAACAAGAUUUCAUUUUUAGUCAGACUUGACACUGGCUAAACACUAACGUGGGCUCUUUAUGUUUCCAUAAACUCUCUUAUCACAGAGCCACCAGUAGAGCAUGG